rnacentral:lncRNA from 1 species
UUGCAUUAACUUCGAAGUUAGAACUUGAGUUUCAACGACUUUUAAAUACCUCUAUCUUCUAAAGGACAGCCCGUCUUAAAAUCAUUAUGGGCCCUGUGCUCAGAUUAUAUUUUCCCAAACUUAUAGUUACAAGAACUUUAUUUACGACUCCGCGUUUGUUAAAAAAAAUAAUGCCCCUAGUAAAUCCAAAGCUUUAGUUAAAAAAAAUAAACCCAAAGCUAUACGCUAAUUACAUUAAAUAUGAGGAAUAAUAAUUGUGGUUUCCGUAUUCCAAUGGUUGCGGAGGAUA